rnacentral:misc_RNA from 1 species
AGCAGCCGCGGUAAUUCCAGCUCCAAUAGCGUAUAUUAAAGUUGUUGCAGUUAAAAGCUCGUAGUUGAAUUUCGGGGUUAGUAGGUUGGUCAUGCCUCUGGUAUGUACUGGUCUCACUGAUUCCUCCUUCCUGAUGAACCUUAAUGCCAUUAAUUUGGUGUUUUGGGGAAUUUGGACUGUUACUUUGAAAAAUUAGAGUGUUUAAAGCAAGCUAACGCUUGAAUACAUUAGCAUGGAAUAAUGAAAUAGGACGUUCGAUCCUAUUUUGUUGGUUUCUAGGAUUGACGUAAUGAUUAAUAGGGAUAGUUGGGGGGCAUUAGUAUUCAAUUGUCAGAGGUGAAAUUCUUGGAUUUAUUGAAGACUAACUACUGCGAAAGCAUUUGCCAAGGAUGUUUUCAUUAAUCAAGAACGAAAGUUAGGGGAUCGAAGACGAUCAGAUACCGUCGUAGUCUUAACCAUAAACUAUGCCGACUAGGGAUCGGAUGAUGUUAAUUUUUAAUGUACUCAUUCGGCGCCUUAC